rnacentral:rRNA from 1 species
AGUGAACGCUGGCGGUAGGCCUAACACAUGCAAGUCGAACGGCAGCACAGUAAGAGCUUGCUCUUACGGGUGGCGAGUGGCGGACGGGUGAGGAAUACAUCGGAAUCUACUUUUUCGUGGGGGAUAACGGAGGGAAACUUACGCUAAUACCGCAUACGACCUACGGGUGAAAGCAGGGGAUCUUCGGACCUUGCGCGAUUGAAUGAGCCGAUGUCGGAUUAGCUAGUUGGCGGGGUAAGGGCCCACCAAGGCGACGAUCCGUAGCUGGUCUGAGAGGAUGAUCAGCCACACUGGAACUGAGACACGGUCCAGACUCCUACGGGAGGCAGCAGUGGGGAAUAUUGGACAAUGGGCGCAAGCCUGCUCCAGCCAUACCGCGUGGGUGAAGAAGGCCUUCGGGUUGUAAAGACCUUUUGUUGGGAAAGAAAAGCAGCAGGUUAAUACCCCGCUGUUCUGACGGUACCCAAAGAAUAAGCACCGGCUAACUUCGUG